rnacentral:rRNA from 1 species
UACGGAGGGUGCAAGCGUUGUCCGGAUUUAUUGGGUUUAAAGGGUGCGUAGGCGGCCGAUUAAGUCUGGGGUGAAAGCCCGUUGCUCAACAACGGAACUGCCCUGGAAACUGGAUGGCUUGAGUACAGACGAGGGUGGCGGAAUGGAUGCUGUAGCGGUGAAAUGCAUAGAUAGCAUCCAGAACCCCGAUUGCGAAGGCAGCUGCCUAGACUGUAACUGACGCUGAGGCACGAAAGCGUGGGGAGCGAACAGG